rnacentral:rRNA from 1 species
AACGAACGCUGGCGGCAGGCUUAACACAUGCAAGUCGAACGCGCCCUUCGGGGCGAGUGGCAGACGGGUGAGUAACGCGUGGGAACCUACCUUUUGGUACGGAAUAACUCAGGGAAACUUGAGCUAAUACCGUAUGUGUCCUGACUUUUAAUCGGGUUGGGAGAAAGAUUCAUCGCCAAAGGAUGGGCCCGCGUCGGAUUAGCUAGUUGGUGGGGUAAUGGCCUACCAAGGCGACGAUCCGUAGCUGGUCUGAGAGGAUGAUCAGCCACACUGGGACUGAGACACGGCCCAGACUCCUACGGGAGGCAGCAGUGGGGAAUAUUGGACAAUGGGGGCAACCCUGAUCCAGCCAUGCCGCGUGAGUGAAGAAGGCCUUAGGGUUGUAAAGCUCUUUCGCCGGUGAAGAUAAUGACGGUAACCGGAGAAGAAGCCCCGGCUAACUUCGUGCCAGCCGCCGCGGUAAUAC